rnacentral:rRNA from 2 species
GAUGAACGCUGGCGGCGUGCUUAACACAUGCAAGUCGAACGAAGAUAUUUAGAAUGAGAGCUUCGGCAGGAUUUUUAUCUAUCUUAGUGGCGGACGGGUGAGUAACGUGUGGGCAACCUGCCCUGUACUGGGGAAUAAUCAUUGGAAACGAUGACUAAUACCGCAUGUGGUCCUCGGAAGGCAUCUUCUGAGGAAGAAAGGAUUUAUUCGGUACAGGAUGGGCCCGCAUCUGAUUAGCUAGUUGGUGAGAUAACAGCCCACCAAGGCGACGAUCAGUAGCCGACCUGAGAGGGUGAUCGGCCACAUUGGGACUGAGACACGGCCCAAACUCCUACGGGAGGCAGCAGUGGGGAAUAUUGCACAAUGGGCGAAAGCCUGAUGCAGCAACGCCGCGUGAAGGAUGAAGGGUUUCGGCUCGUAAACUUCUAUCAAUAGGGAAGAAACAAAUGACGGUACCUAGAUAAGAAGCCCCGGCUAACUACGUGCCAGCAGCCGCGGUAAUACGUAGGGGGCAAGCGUUAUCCGGAAUUACUGGGUGUAAAGGGAGCGUAGGCGGCAUGGUAAGCCAGAUGUGAAAGCCUUGGGCUUAACCCGAGGAUUGCAUUUGGAACUAUCAAGCUAGAGUACAGGAGAGGAAAGCGGAAUUCCUAGUGUAGCGGUGAAAUGCGUAGAUAUUAGGAAGAACACCAGUGGCGAAGGCGGCUUUCUGGACUGAAACUGACGCUGAGGCUCGAAAGCGUGGGGAGCAAACAGG